CCGUGGCGCAAUAGGCAGCGCGUUCGGCUGUUAACCGAAAGGUUGGUGGUUCGAGCCCACACGAGAGCG
rnacentral:tRNA from 1 species